AACCUGGUUGAUCCUGCCAGUAGUCAUAUGCUUGUCUCAAAGAUUAAGCCAUGCAUGUCUAAGUACAAUCCUCUUGAGGGAGAAACUGCGAAAGGCUCAUUAAAUCACACCUAAUGUACUGGAUAGUUACAGUUACUUGGAUAACUGCGGUAAUUCUGGAGCUAAUACAUGCAAACCAGCCCCGACUCACGGAGGGGUGCUUUUAUUAGACUAAAACCAAACGGCUUCGGUCGUCCCACUGGUGAAUCUGAAUAACUUUGAGCGGAUCGCACGGCUUCACGCCGGCGACGUAUCCUUCCAAGGUGUGACCUAUCAACUGUCGACUGUGGCAUAGACGCCCACAGUGGUUUUGACGGGUAACGGGGAAUUAGGGUUCGAUUCCGGAGAGGGAGCCUGAGAAACGGCUACCACUUCUAAGGAAGGCAGCAGGCACGCAAAUUACCCACUGGCCAAAGGCCGAGGUAGUGACGAAAAAUAACGAUACCAGACUCAUCCGAGGCCUGGUAAUCGGAAUGAGCACACUUUAAAUCCUUUAACGAGGAACCAUUGGAGGGCAAGUCUGGUGCCAGCAGCCGCGGUAAUUCCAGCUCCAAUAGUUUAUAUUAAAUUUGUUGUGUAAAAAGCUCGUAGUUGGAACCUGGCAUGCAGGGGGCGGUCCAUUAUUUGAUGCGACUGCCCCAUUUGCGUGUUUUUUUGGGCUGGAAUUCUCUUGGGUGCUCUUCACCGCAGUGUACCUUGAAAAAUGAGGCUCGCCAGGUUUACUUUGAAAAAAUUAGAGUGCAUCCAAGCAGGCUCUACACGCCUGAAUAUUCGUGCAUGGAAUAAUGGAAUAGGACGUCGUUCCUAAUUUUGUUGGUUUUAGGGAUUCGUACGCAGAUGACUAAUAGGGACAGCCGGGGGCAUUAGUAUGCAGACUAACUAAGGUGAAAGCAUUUGCCAAGAGUCUUUUCAUUAAUCAAGAACGAAAGCAUUUGCCAGAGUGUUUCAUUGAUCAGGCGAAAGUCAGAGGUUCGAAGCGAUCAGAUACGCCUAGUUCUAACCAUAAACGAUGCCAGCUAGCGAUCUGCAGGCGUUUUUUUUGUAGGCCCUGCAGGAAGCUUCCGGGAAACCAAAGCGUUUGGGUUCCAGGGGAGGUAUGGUUGCAAAGCUGAAACUUAAAGGAAUUGACGGAAGGGCACCACCAGGCGUGGAGCUUGCGGCUUAAUUUGACUCAACACUGGAAAUCUCACCAGGCCCGGACACCGGCAGGAUUGACAGAUUGAGAGCUCUUUCUCGAUUCGGUGGGUGGUGGUGCAUGGCCGUUCUUAGUUGGUGGAGUGAUUUGUCUGGUUAAUUCCGAUAACGAACGAGACUCCGUCCUGCUAACUAGUUGCGAGGUCACACUUUGCCUCGCAAAUUCUUCUUAGAGGGACUGACAGCAUCUAGCUGUACGAGAUGGAGCAAUAACAGGUCUGUGAUGCCCUUAGAUGUUCUGGGCUGCACGCGUGUUACACUGAAGGGAUCAGCGUGUUUUCCCUGACCGAGAGGUCCGGGUAACCCGCUGAACCCCCUUCGUGGUAGGGAUCGGAGCUUGCAAUUAUUCUCCGUGAACCAGGAAUGCCCAGUAAGCGCAAGUCAUAAGCUUGCGUUGAUUACGUCCCUGCCCUUUGUACACACCGCCCGUCGCUACUACCGAUUGAACGUUUUAGUGAGGUAUUUGGACUGGGCCUCUGGUGGUUAACGCCUCCAGUGUUGCCCGGGAAGACUCCCAAACUUGAGCGUUUAGAGGAAGUAAAAGUCGUAACAAGGUUACUGUAGGUGAACCUGCAGAAGGAUCA
rnacentral:rRNA from 1 species